rnacentral:rRNA from 1 species
UACAGAGGGGGCAAGCGUUGUUCGGAAUUACUGGGCGUAAAGGGCGCGUAGGCGGCCUUCUAAGUCGAACGUGAAAUCCCCGGGCUCAACCCGGGAACUGCGUCCGAUACUGGGAGGCUUGAAUCCGGGAGAGGGAUGCGGAAUUCCAGGUGUAGCGGUGAAAUGCGUAGAUAUCUGGAGGAACACCGGUGGCGAAGGCGGCGUCCUGGACCAACACUGACACUGAGGAGCGAAAGCCAGGGGAGCAAACGGG